CAGCAGCCACGGUAAUACAGAGGGUGCGAGCGUUAAUCGGAUUUACUGGGCGUAAAGCGUGCGUAGGCGGCUUUUUAAGUCGGAUGUGAAAUCCCUGAGCUUAACUUAGGAAUUGCAUUCGAUACUGGGAAGCUAGAGUAUGGGAGAGGAUGGUAGAAUUCCAGGUGUAGCGGUGAAAUGCGUAGAGAUCUGGAGGAAUACCGAUGGCGAAGGCAGCCAUCUGGCCUAAUACUGACGCUGAGGUACGAAAGCAUGGGGAGCAAACAGGAUUGGAUACCCGUGUAGUCCCUGUCUCUUAUAA
rnacentral:rRNA from 1 species